GGGGCGGCGCAGUGCCUAUAAAGGGCCGGGGCCGCGCGUGUGGGGUGGCAAUGGCGGCGCUCGGGACCGGCUUUGGCGGUGGCAGGGCCCGUGAGGAAGCGGCGCUGGAGCCGGGCCCGGGGCAGCCCGGAAGCCGCCGGCAGCCCACGGCCUGUGGAGGGGUCCCGCAGGCUCCGCUCAGGCCGUGUGUGAUGAAGGAGAGAGGGCGGGCGUCUGGCGACGGUGCCUUGUUGUGGUGCCGUGCGCCUUGGUAACCCUGCCGGGGUUGGGAUUAGCCGUGCUGUGGGUGCCGGCUCGUUUCGGCUUCCUGGCUGCUUGUUAACCAUUUUUUCCCUUCUGGAUUUCUAUAUAUUCCUCGGCCGGCGUGCCUACUCGUGUUUGUGCUGCCUUUUGCUAAUACAACGAUAACGCUCUUUAGUUUAGGCUUUAGACAAGUGUAUGAGGCUUUUCUUCCUUCGUUAUGUUUGUUGUGUUGGUGCUCAGCUGAUGGCCUCAGAGCAGGGAAAAGAGGUAAACGAAGCUAGCUGUGGUCUUUUUCCUUUUCAGGAGUCCCUUAAUAAAAUGGAUGGCAUAACCCAAGCAGUAAGGAAGAGAUCAUCUCUUUGUGGGGUUGCUCAGGAACCUGCUUCUAAUGUUGUGAAGGUUUGA
rnacentral:lncRNA from 1 species